CCCAUUCCACUCUUCUCACCUGGGAAAUCCCAAGGACAUAGGAAACUGGCAGGCUACAAUUCAUGGGUCACAAAAGAGUCAGAUAUGACUUAGCAGCUAAACAACAACAGCAAAUUAUAACAUAUAUCCAUCAUUAUAGUGUCAUACAAGGCUAAUAUAGUCAGAAGACUUCAGACUUGGUCAAUUAAAAAAUGAAUAAGCAACAACUGUAAGAAGCCCAAGCAACAACUGUAAGAAUAUUUAAAUUGCAUCAGGGUCCUUUCCAAAGAGUUGGCUGUUCACAUCAGGUGGUC